rnacentral:rRNA from 1 species
GUGCCAGCAGCCGCGGUAAUACGGGGGGGGCUAGCGUUGUUCGGAAUUACUGGGCGUAAAGGGCGCGUAGGCGGCCACCUCAGUCGAACGUGAAAUCCCUCGGCUCAACCGGGGAACUGCGUCCGAUACUGGGUGGCUGGAAUCCGGGAGAGGGAUGCGGAAUUCCAGGUGUAGCGGUGAAAUGCGUAGAUAUCUGGAGGAACACCGGUGGCGAAGGCGGCAUCCUGGACCGGUAUUGACGCUGAGGCGCGAAAGCCAGGGGAGCAAACGGGAUUAGAUACCCUGGUAGUCC